GUAGGUGGCAAGCGUUGUCCGGAAUUAUUGGGCGUAAAGCGCGCGCAGGCGGUUCUUUAAGUCUGAUGUGAAAGCCCACGGCUCAACCGUGGAGGGUCAUUGGAAACUGGAGAACUUGAGUACAGAAGAGGAAAGCGGAAUUUCACGUGUAGCGGUGAAAUGCGUAGAGAUGUGGAGGAACACCAGUGGCGAGGGCGGCUUUCUGGUCUGUAACUGACGCUGAGGCGCGAAAGCGUGGGGAGCAAACAGGAUUAGAUACCCUGGUAGUCCACGCCGUAAACGAUGAGUGCUAAGUGUUAGGGGGGUUUCCGCCCCCCUUAGUGCUGCAGCUAACGCAUUAAGCACUCCGCCUGGGAGUACGGCCGCAAGGCUG
rnacentral:rRNA from 1 species